GUAACCAUUACCGAAAGGUACUGGUAACCCCUUGAAAAUCCUCCGUGAUCGGGAUCGGGAAUUGCAAUUAUUUCCCUUGAACGAGGAAUUCCUAGUAAGUGUGAGUCAUCAGCUCACGUUGAUUACGUCCCUGCCCUUUGUACACACCGCCCGUCGCUGCCCGGGACUGAGCCGUUUCGAGAAAAGCGGAGACUGCUGUUUUGAAACCUUUCGAGGUGGAGAUUCUUUGGUGGAAACCGCUUUAAUCGCAGUGGCUUGAACCGGGCAAAAGUCGUAACAAGGUUUCCGUAGGUGAACCUGCGGAAGGAUCAUUA
rnacentral:rRNA from 2 species